UGCACCAUUGCGAUGCCACAGCAACGACUAGUAUAUUUCUUAGACAAGCUAUCCAGUUUGUUUCAAGGCUGGAAUUAAUUUGUGCUGCCUGCUGGAGAUCAGUUAAUAGAGAGGGUCACAGACAACAGCAACAUGACAUGAUCCGACCAGCACUGCAAGAAGUCAUUCACUCACUUCGGCAGUAUUAUAAGCGUGUUGCGGCCACAUCAAGUUCUUGUUUGUUUUCUGGGAAGCCAAAUCUAUCAAAAAUACACAUCUAUAUAAAAAUAUACAUCGGAUUU